CAGAGGAUAGUUUAAAUAAAAUACUAAUUUUGGGGAUUAGAGAUCGGAUGAAUAUCCUCCCUCUGA
rnacentral:tRNA from 1 species